UAAUAUAGUUUGAUAUCAGGUAUUGUGAUCCCUCCUACUUUGUUCUUCUUUCUGGAAAUUGCUGUGGGUAUUUGGGGUUGUUUACAGUUCCAUGUAAAUUUUUGAAAUGGUUGUUUUAUAUCUGUGAAAUAUGCCAUUGGUACUUUAAU